rnacentral:lncRNA from 1 species
CCCUGCACAGUGAGGUCGUGGCGCCCGGCACCUGCCACCUGUGACUGGGAUGAAGGGCUCGAUCAGAACCUGUCUGCCGGUUUCCCCGUGCGACGAUUAACCACCACCCCCUCCAUAACCCGUGUGUUUUCCAGGUCAGCCUGGACUUACAAAUCCAAGCCAGAUGGGGUCUCCUCAGAGGGGCAGUGACCUGGGGGAUGCCAACAGUGACAGCUACCACCAGCAGGUACUUCACACACGUCCCGUACUGCGCCAAGACCAUCACAUGUAAUCUUUACUGUACCCUACGAGAGACACUUUUAUUAUUCCUACUUUUCAGAUGGAGAAACUGAGUCCCAGAGGGGUUAAAUGACCUCAGCAAGGCCAUCUAGCUAAUGAGAGGUGAAUCUAGGAUUCCAGAGCUCUUGCUCUUAAAUGCUACGCUGAAUGAGAGGAUGCGCUGGAAGAUUUUUGACCAAUUGUGUGAACAGUAAGAAGCACAACUGUGGCCUUUGUGGCUUCCUUUUUAGAGAUGGAAUUUCGCUGUGUUGCCCAGGCUGGCAGCAUAUUGGCCCUCCCCACCUCAGCCUCCUGAGUAGCUGGGACUGGGUGCAUGCCAUUACACCCAUCUAGCACAGCUGUGUUUUGUGCUCUUGGCUGAGAGGUUCUUAGGACCCACUAGCCCUAUUGUCUCUUCGUUCCUCUCCCCAAUCCGCCUUCGUCAUGUGAGCCUUUGCAGCAGCCACCUGAUCUCAGAGUUCUCUUCUUCCCUCUCUUCAGACAUUUUGCAGACAUCCUCCUCCCCUCCUCUAACACAGAGACAACCUGUCUGGUAAAGCCUCUCAAACCCAGCCAGAAUCAUCUGGAAGAGUUUAGCGGGCUGGCAGCAAGGCCAGUCUGAAAUGGACUUAGCUAGAUUCCGCCCGAGGCCCUCCCAUUAGCUGCGCAAUGCAGCCUCUGCCCAAAGUGCAAAGCAGAAUGCUGCUGGAGCUGCUCAUGAAACCACCUUACUGUGGCCACCAGAUUGUCCCCAUUUGCUUUGGAAAGCAAUGCCAUUGUGAAAUAUGGCAUCUCCUGUAGUUCUGCAUCGGAAGCAGAGAGGGCAUACACGGACUCCCUCCCCAUUCCAGCAGGCAUGUUCUCAACACCCCUGCACCUGGGCCUCUGGCCAGGGGCCUCCAUAGCCGCCUUCAGGAGUGAGUGCACUGCGGUCUGAGCACCUGGAUGUAGCCCUCCACCCUUACCCUGUGCCUCCCUAAAGCCUCGUGUGUCAAAUGAAGUCAUCAUUAUCCCUACCUCGUGAGAUGUCACAAGAAUAAAUAAUUUAAUAUAUGCAAGGUGCUUGGCACCGAGUGUUAUAAAACUUGAUGAUGAUGAUAGUUUGCUAUCAUCAUCAUCAUCAUCACCAUCAUCACUACCACCAUUCAGUACAUAGUUUCCCACCUUUGCACUUUUAAAAAAGGAAAACCCAUUGCCAUAUGUAAUAUGAUUUCUUUACCACUUUGUUGAAACCAACUUUAAAUAAAC